rnacentral:misc_RNA from 1 species
AAAGUCGUAACAAGGUUUCCGUAGGUGAACCUGCGGAAGGAUCAUUACCGAAUGAACUGCACCUCCUAGUAGCAGAACCACUGACCAUUGCCCAUGAACGCGGAUGAUUGGUCUGACAAAGGCUGUUCCGAAUGGUUUAAGGUUGAGGUGGCUGUAGGGGUUACUGCCCGACGAAACACCUUGCGUUGGUGGAACCAUUUUGGCCAUGCUGGAAGUUAGAUCCGGACGGUCCUCUGGGCCCCCUUUGGGUCUGCUACGCCUAUCAAACCCGUCAUUGUAUGUAUGGUGGGGUGGCAUCCCACCUUUUGUUGGGUUGCCCCUCAAGUAUGUAAACAUGAAUAUAACUUUCAACAACGGAUCUCUUGGCUCUC